CGGACAGAAGGCCAUGGGAACACAGAGGACUGCCAAGGUCAUCAGUGUGCUGACCCCGAAGAGCUCGUGGCAGGUGGGAAAACAGCAAAACACAACUGAAAUGAGGACGACUGAGAUGAGGACCAAGAUUAACAGUUGCAGGAAGAAAAGAGAGAAGGAAGAAAAGAAAGGCAACCCUGGCUGCUGUGGUUUAGUGGAUUGAGCACCAGCCUGUGAACCAAAGGGUCGCCGGAUCGAUUCCCAGUCAGGGCACAUGUCUGGGUUGCCGG